CCACAAGGACGAUACUACUGAACUCUCUCUUGCUGAUUACUAGUGGAGACUUACCUCACUGACUGAGUGGC